CGGGCCAUCGUCUAAGGGUUAGGACAUUAGACUUUCAAUUUAAGAAUGAAGGUUCGAAUCCUUCUGGCCCGA
rnacentral:tRNA from 1 species